rnacentral:rRNA from 1 species
CACGUAGGGUGCGAGCGUUUGUCCGGAAUUAUUGGGCGUAAAGAGCUCGUAGGCGGUCUGUCGCGUCGGUCGUGAAAACCUGCAGCUUAACUGUGGGCUUGCGGUCGAUACGGGCAUGACUGGAGUUCGGCAGGGGAGACUGGAAUUCCUGGUGUAGCGGUGAAAUGCGCAGAUAUCAGGAGGAACACCCGGUGGCGAAGGCGGGUCUCUGGGCCGAUACUGACGCUGGAGGAAGCGAAAGCGUGGGGAGCGAACAGGA